rnacentral:lncRNA from 1 species
CUUAGCUUCUCUCUUUUCUCGGAUUCCUUUCAGCGAACAAGACAGAGCACGGAAAAGGGGGGGAGUGUCUGAUUUUCAACCUGCCGCAGGAGACCCGACGGCAGUCCGCAUGCAUGUACACUGCGGCCUCUCUGGUGACACGACUCGAGACAGACAAAACCUGUUUUCCACCGCAGAUGCCUGUAGAACCACGAUCCCCUCUCUCUAUGUGGAGCCUUCUCCCCCAGCAUAUACGUGGCUGCUCUAUUUUCUCUCCAGGACUCUACAAAUCUUCAUUUAGAUCUGAGAUCUAGAGAUCCACAGACGUGCCUCGACAUGGUGAGUUGUACUCCUUUUGUUUCUUUCUUGGUGGAAAAGAGCUUUGUUGAGUUUCAAAGACUCAUCUGACUCUUCUUCGUUCUCUGUUUCUUCCUCCUCCGUUCGUUAUGUGCUUGGACGCGUUUGCGGCGACUUCUCCUGGUUCCUCGCCACACGUCAAGUGAGGCGGCGUUCGUCGCUCCAGUUCGGAUCUCUCAAGUUUCGCGCCGAUACCUCUCCUAGAGACAGUCGAAUGACUCUCUGAGAUCCUUUUGAAGAGAAGACACAAAUCCACGAACUCCGGUGGCUUCGCCUUUGCUCGCCUGUACGAGUUUCUUUCCCAGCUUUCAAGGUGACACAGAAGGUCGACCGCCAAACCAUCAGGUGUAUGUACACUCCAACCGCAACAUUGCUAGAGCUGGUGUGUUUCCGCAUUUCGUACUUGCCAAAUUCAAGAGACUCUUUCGAAUGCAUAUUUGACUCUUGAGCUAAGAGAUGGAACGCUUUGCCUCUCGGCUCCAAUGGUCAGCAAAACACGCUACAUGUUUCGGCAAGCACCAAAGCAUGCGUUGGCACUCGACGGUCACAUGCCUUACCUGACUAGAAAGUGGAGGCCUC